rnacentral:rRNA from 1 species
UGGGGAAUUUUGGACAAUGGGCGCAAGCCUGAUCCAGCCAUGCCGCGUGUCUGAAGAAGGCCUUCGGGUUGUAAAGGACUUUUGUCAGGGAAGAAAAGGGCGGGGUUAAUACCCCUGUCUGAUGACGGUACCUGAAGAAUAAGCACCGGCUAACUACGUGCCAGCAGCCGCGGUAAUACGUAGGGUGCGAGCGUUAAUCGGAAUUACUGGGCGUAAAGCGGGCGCAGACGGUCACUUAAGCAGGAUGUGAAAUCCCCGGGCUCAACCUGGGAACUGCGUUCUGAACUGGGUGACUAGAGUGUGUCAGAGGGAGGUAGAAUUCCACGUGUAGCAGUGAAAUGCGUAGAGAUGUGGAGGAAUACCGAUGGCGAAGGCAGCCUCCUGGGAUAACACUGACGUUCAUGCCCGAAAGCGUGGGUAGCAAACA